rnacentral:rRNA from 1 species
UACGUAGGGUGCGAGCGUUAAUCGGAAUUACUGGGCGUAAAGCGUGCGCAGGCGGUUUUGUAAGCCAGAUGUGAAAUCCCCGGGCUCAACCUGGGAAUUGCAUCUGUGACUGCAUAGCUAGAGUACGGUAGAGGGGGAUGGAAUUCCGCGUGUAGCAGUGAAAUGCGUAGAUAUGCGGAGGAACACCGAUGGCGAAGGCAAUCCCCUGGACCUGUACUGACGCUCAUGCACGAAAGCGUGGGGAGCAAACGGG